rnacentral:rRNA from 1 species
UACAGAGGUCCCAAGCGUUGUUCGGAUUCACUGGGCGUAAAGGGUGCGUAGGUGGUGGGGUAAGUCUGAUGUGAAAUCUCCGAGCUCAACUCGGAAAUGGCAUUGGAUACUAUUCUGCUAGAGGAUUGGAGGGGAGACUGGAAUUCUUGGUGUAGCAGUGAAAUGCGUAGAUAUCAAGAGGAACACCAGUGGCGAAAGCGGCGCACUGGACCAUAACUGACGCUGAGGCGCGAAAGCGUGGGGAGCAGACAGG